AAAUCCAGUUUCCUGUCACUAAUAAUUCUAGCCUUUAAAAUAGGACCGAUAUUUGCAAUACGUAUGAUGUUUUCUAGUCUGCUUGGACUGAGCUAUGACAAAAGGUUGGAUGAUAGAGCUACGUAAUGCCAAAAGUCCUCUGUGGGAAGAAUAAGAACAAAUGAAAGGUCUCUUUUCACCAGGAAUUUACCAUCAGUCCUUAGAGAAAAUGUAGAGGGCCCUGUAGGGCUCUAUAUAAUUACCCUCUUCUAGGCUGACUCAACCUUCUGCUAGAUGCUGGGCAAAUUGAUUGCUGAUGUCUCAAAUCUCCAUCCUUCACUGGACAUUGCCCUGGAAAGCAGAGAACUGUAUUGAUCAAUGUUACACCUCUUGUCUGGCUGACGAUGAAAUACAGCAACUUAUUGCCUCCAGCUGGGAUAAUUCUGAAGA
rnacentral:lncRNA from 1 species